rnacentral:tRNA from 1 species
GGGUCGAUGCCCGAGUGGUUAAUGGGCGGACUGUAAAUUCGUUGACAAUAUGUCUACGCUGGUUCAAAUCCAGCUCGGCCCA